AACCAUAGAAACCUGCGGAGUACCUGCGGAGGGAUCAUUAUGAAUUUGAACUUGUGUGGCUGUUUCAUUUACAUGAACGCUCGCAAUUCUUUUUCUGUGAACUGUUCUUGAGUUUUUUUUUCUCACAAUUUAUUUUGUGAGAGAGAGACUCGGGUCAUUUUUGUUUUCUUGAUUUUUUAUUCCAUAUUUUUUUUUGAGUAGUUCUUGCAAAAGAAUGAAAAAAAAUAAUAAACCAAGACA
rnacentral:misc_RNA from 1 species